ensembl:lncRNA
GGCGGAGGAUCAGACCUCCGCCACAUUAAUACUCAACAGUGUAUGAUUACAGUGUAUACCAUUUUGGCCUGACAAACAUUCUGCACGAGCUUGUUUGCUUUCUAGUUAAGUGCAAAAGUUGCACUAAAAUGAUCAGCAUUUCCACAGUCAAACAAUUAAAUUGUUUGCUUUUCAAGGCAAAUUACCUUUAGGUAAUUUAUAGGAAAAAUCUAAUUUUCAAAAGAAAAUCCCACAUGGAUGGUUUAAGGAAACAAUUAUAUCAAGGAUAUAGUGUCAUUUGUAAAAGGGCAUUGAUGUUUGGAGCUCUGAAGUAAGUGUGUGUGUUUUGUUUUUGCCUUUGCUUUUUGUUUUUUAGGGGGGUGGUUGUCUACAUUGUUAGAUAUAAAAUGUAUAUAUAUUUGUCUUGUCACAUUUCAACUUCACAAAGUAUUUAAAUUUUGCAAAUACCCCUUUCUUCUGCAUACAACAGACAAGGAUAAACAAUAAAACUUAGCUGACCUGCUCUGCAUAGCCAAGAAAAAUAUACUGGCUUUCACUCAAUAUUUUAACAUAGAUGCAACAAUAAUUAAACCUCUUAAACUGCAAAUAUCAGGCAGUUUAACUUUUCAUUUUUUCAUUUUUCACGUUUCAUUUUGAAACCAUUAAAACAUAUGCCAUUUUUGCAACUAUGACUCCUCCUAAGACAUCACUUAAGACCAGAGUUGGGCGCGUUACUGUAAUCUGAUUACUUUUUUCAAGUAACGAGUAAAGUAAGGGAUUACUAUUGCAAAAACGGUGAUUAGAUUACCGUUACUUUCCCGUAGUAAUGCUGCGUUACUAAAACCGUGAUUUUUUGCGAGAAUGUCUCAUGACAGUGACGUAAGCAAGUGCGCCGUUAGUGACAACAGCUGUGUGCAGAUCGACAAUGGAUCACAUAUCGAUUGUGGGAGAGAGUAUGAGCGUGCAGCGUUUAAAGCGUGGAAGUACUGACCUUACUUUGAGUUUGAUUCCAUAAAAAGUGACAAAAACAUUAGCGUCCAUCGUGCGUGGGAAGAAAACUUCUUUUUACAGCGAAAAACUUCCAAGCAAGCACCGAGUGCGCUACGACGUAAUGGGAAACUCACAGAGAAACUCGCGGAUUCUUCCACUGACCGCGGCACACCUGCACCAGGGUAAACCUCCGCCUACCGCAGUCCUGCUUUACAGGUGAAAAUAGAGCAACAGGACCGCUGAGUCUUUGACUUUAUUUAUUUUCUGCUGUGUUUUACUUGCAUCUAUUUGAAAGAGUGAGUGUAAACACAAAAAAUACUUAAUUUUAUGUGCUGGAAUGUGUAGAAAAUAGGUUUAAAUGUUAAACUAAUUUAUUCAAGUCAGAGAAUGUUGCGUAUAAUUAAAUCUUUGCUUGAUGCAUAAAGUUAAGAUUAAAAUUGAUAAAACAAGUUAAAAAAAAGAGACUUUUCCAUUUGAUUACAUUUUGUAUGAUGGAUUAUGUAGAAAAAGUAGAAUUGGGCUGAAAGAUCUAUCGCUUUAUCACCUCUUCAGGUUGUAAAUUGUGUUUUUAAAAAGUAACUAAGUAACUAAGUAAUUAAUUACUUUUGAAAAUAAGUAAUCAGUAAAGUAACGGGAUUACUUUUUUGGGGAAGUAAUCAGUAAUUAGAUACGGAUUACUUUUUUCAAGUAACUUGACCAACACUGCUCAAUAUUUUUGUCUAGCCCAAAAGUCAAAUUUGCACAGCAUACAACAUAGUCAAGUACCCUUUUGCAGCAAAUGUGAAGUUAUUGCUUAAUGAUAAGCAAUAACUUAUCAUUAAGUUAUUGCUUAAUGAUAAGUUAUCGCUUUCUCGUUUCUCACCGCCAUGCUUUCUCGUUUGUCUCGUUUUGCACUGUCCGGCAUCUGUCUUUUGUCAGUGACGUAAAAGAUGGAUUUAAUGUGACAUGCCCAUUCAAACAGCAGUCGCUUUCUAAAACAUCAGAUAUGUAUCGGAUUCAGUACCACAUAUGAAAGUGGACUAGGUCGGAUUUGAAAAUAUCGGAUUUGUGCUGUUUAAACUGUCAUACCAUGAUCGGAUAUGGGUCGCAUAGGGUCAAAAAAGUCGCAUUUGAUGCUCUUUCACCUGCAGUGUGAACGUAGCCUUUGUUGCAGCAUCCCCAGUACCUCUACUUCCUAUGGCCUUGCUUUUAAUCACAAUCUUAAAAAGGCUAGUGUUGCUAUAUUGAUGCAUAUGCAAAAGUCUGGUGACUUCCAAAUCAUUCAUAAUCUUUGAAAGUAUGCUGCUUACACAUAUAAAUCUUGUAUUUCAUUUCAGGGUUGUACCCAGAGCUUGCAGAUUGUUGACUAGUUGGCUUGUACAAAACACAGUGAGAGGAUUGUAACCAGGCAACAGAUCCACCUGACCACUGAAUAAUACUAUCAUAACCCAAAAAUGCCAGAUUCAAAAGAACACUUAUUUUGAAAUAUUCAAGUAGAAUCUGUAUCAAACUAACAAUACUUCCACAUUGAUAGUAACAUAUUAGUCUGCAAUUAACCUCCUAAGACCCAAACUCUUUCAUGGCAUGCAUUUUUAAUUUAACUUUGCUAUUUGGGGUGAUUGGGACCUGAUGCAAAACAAAGAAUUAUCUUUUUGCCUGACUUUUUUCUCUCUCGCAGAGCUGGAUAUCCACAUAUGAGGACAUUUGUUUUAAAUUUUGACAGAACAGUGGCAGUAUAAUAUCCUUGUAAGAGUUCAGGCCCUUGUGGAGCAAAAUUUAGUUUUGUGGUCUAGACAACCCAAAAUGUAAUGUCCACAUAUGUGGACACCAGGCCCUACGAGGUUAAACAUAGUUUAUUUCCAAACCCCAUGCGUGAGAUAUUUUGUCCUCUGCAUUUAACCAAUUCAUUUAAUAGGAAGAAAGCUCCAGCAGACCCGGGCUCAGGGACAGGUUCAGUAACAUCCCCAGCCAGUCACCACAGAUGGUACACUGCACUGCACUUUGCUCUGAAUUUCAUAUGCAGGCUGACUUACACACAAGCAAUCUCUGUUUUAUGCAACUUGGUGGAUUGUCUCUGAUGAAAUGCCUAUUGAUGUGCUUUUACAUGAAGGACAAGAUGUUAAACUCUGAAGCACCUGACUGACUAGUAGAGGAAGAGAGACUUUGUCCCUUCAGCUGUUAGGAGGGAACAGCCAGGGGGUUUGUUUAACCACAGCAACACACACUACAGGGGCCUGACACAAGCUAAAGACAGUUGAGUAGGGCUAUGCAACAAGAAAAACUGGUUUCUCCAUCCAUCCUGUAGCAUUACACGCUGGUCUCUUCAGAUUUAGGCUUCAGCAUGAUUGUGACCAAAUAUUUUAUAAAAAAUGCUAUGAAAAAAAGUGAAACACAAACAAAAAAGAUUUAAAAUGCAUAAAGGCACAAAGACUAAACAAGAAUAUUUAAAAUUGUAGCAACUUUGUAUGAAUAUUUGCAUGCAUAACAUUUACCUUUACACUUUAACUGUGUCAAAUGUAGAUCCCAUAGUUCCAAGAGGGAUGAGGUGUGUCCUGUUAGGUCACCAUAACAGGUUUUCGUAAAUAAACACUGUCAAAGUCAUUCUUUUAGUGUAAGACAUAUGCUUUUGCAGAUACAAUCAUUAUUUUAACAGUUUCAACAUAUAAUGCCAAAAAGAAAAAAACAUCUCAAAAUACCUGUAUUGUGUCUGUAUUACAUUAAAGAAAAAUAUACCUUUGACCAAGUCUGGACCAGUCAGCCUCCACACAUUAGAAGCAGUCCAACAGCUUUAUUCCUGAAUAACACUGACGGUGUAAAUGUGGGUUUUCUUCUUGAAAAAAAUACAGACGUAUGCAUGUUCUAACAGUGUAUGUGCAUGUAAUAUACUUACUUACUUUUAGAUAUCAUGUGUCCUUUUGUUGUUACUUUUUAAUAUUUGAUAUAAACUGUGGGGUUUGUUGAAAAGACAAAUUUCUAUUGGAAAAAACAGUAUUGAACAUUACUGGUAGUUCCACUCCUUGCAGAAGACGAGGAACAUUCCUUUCUUUGGGUCUUGGGAUUCAGUGAAAUGUUUGUUUGCGUGAAUUUAUGUUUGUUGACCAGACUUUGAAUUCUGUUGUUGUUUCUACAUUAUACAUUUUGUAUGAAACAAAGCUCCUUGAAAUAAAAAAGAUGAAAUCUAAACCA